UUGUGUUUUAUUCAGUUGCUGUCAGACGGUCCAUAAGUGAAAAUUAUCAAUAUACCGUAGUAUUACGCGCAACUGAUGAGGACAGGACCACAAAAGUUGAAAACUAUUCUCAUACUUAAUACUCUUUACUAAGUAAAUGUAAAGUGGGCCGUACUUGAUUUAAAGAAACUUGACAUCACUGCAGGGAUAGUUUAAAUAUCUAUUACUGUUCUGCAGUACAGAAUAGUAUAUUUUUAUAUCACUUAUUCUCUACUCUUACAGUUUUUACUAUUUGCCUUUAAAAUAUGUUCCUGGCAAGUUGUGGACACAUCCAUUUUAAGUGUUAUUAAAGGGGCUCUUUAUCAUUGGGGUACAGUUAACCAAUGACUGUUCAACUAGUAAUGUGCUGUUGUGCAAGCAGUAGCUUUAUAAUGAAAUCCCAGGGCAAAGGCAGCUGCCCUGCAUAUGGGUCACAGAUGGAUGGAGGCUCUUUAUGUCCAGGUAGUACUGCCGACAUGGCAGCGUGAUGGCGAUUCGUUAACCCCAGCUGCUGUUCUACGCGUGGUGCAAGAUUUGCUGGGGGGGACCGAUAGCUGUUAUUCUUGUGGGUGGCAGCAACCUGGAUCGUUCAGUGCUGUCAGCCCAUAGACAGCACAUCUCACCAUCCUGGUGGCUGUUCUGUACAUCUGGAACCUUCGGUUUUCCGGACAAACUUCUGCCAUGUCGGUCUGCUCUCAGGGUGGCACAGGCGUAUCUUGUUCCUGGGACACUGAGAGGAAGAGCAACCCAACGGCAGCUGUGCUCAUGCUGCAGGAUUGGGUUGGUGGCCUCUUUACUAAUAUGGUGCUGGAGGCUGCUCAGCGUACAGCGCACCAGAGGGUAGGCACUUCUUUUUGUGAUGAGUGCUUGGUUUUUGGGGAGCAAGUAAGCUGCUAAUAGGAAGCUGUAUUUGUUUAAAAGCUGUUUGAAAACUGACUGUAAGAUAUCAGUACUUUUGGCAGAUAAUCUAAUUUCAUUUUACGCAUUUAACUAGUCAAUGGAUUCAGUGAGAUAACGUAUGGUGUAACUAGUCUCUCUGUACUGACAUAUUUCAUAACCUUUGAAAAAGCAAUACAUUCCAAUGAGUUUUUAGAUAUCUAGAACUUUACAUUCAGUAUAAUGUAGUUCUGUACCACUUUCUCUUCAAUCCGUUAUUCUUAUUGCUUUUCUCUAAGAGUUUUCCAUUUUCACAACAGAGCCAUAAAACAUUCAUUUUAUGUCCUGAGAAAGUAUGACAUUGAGGCAAUUAAAUUAGAACCAUAUUCAUUUUUAUAUCAUUGGCGCUCAGCUAAACAUUUUGACUGUUUAAAUACCGUGGCUCUGUCGCACAAGCGGUAUCUUUAUUUGCAAUGCAAUGUUCGGCUACCUGCAGUUCUGCCCUGCUGGUGGAACACGGAUGGAUGGAAGUUCAUAUGUCCAGGUUGACAGUGGCAGAUCUACUCGUCAUGAAAAAUUGGCCUCCAGCUGCCGAUCUACUCACGGUGCAAGAUCAUCUAGGCGGCCUCUUUGCUAACGGCGUAUCGUUAACCCUAUGAUGGCUCAUGUCUUGCUCAUCAACGUCUUGGUGGCAUGUCUCUUUGGGCACAGACGCUCCAGAGGCUGCUCUUCUCGUGGUGUUUGAACUUUCUGCGCGUGGGUCAGAAUGAGAAUGGUGACUGCUGACCAGCCGGCAUCUGCACUCCGUUCUGGCACAGGCAGCCUUGCAACGACCAUGUGCAGCGGUACAUGUAGGAAUAUAUAUUGUAAUAGCACUUAACCCUUAGUUUAUCUUUUUUACUAUUAUCUAUAAAGCUAUAAAAUGUUUCAGUUUUAAAAAAGAUCAAUUUUUAAUAUAAUAAUAAUUCCUUAGAUA